rnacentral:lncRNA from 1 species
CUAAGUUAUCUUAUUGAUUGAAGAUUUUGAAUAUAGUCAGUUCAGAAACAGAAUUAUUUUCCCCAAGGGUAGAUAUUCACAACACUGCUGACAAGUCUCUUUUGACUAAACCAAAUUUCUCUGCAGCUCACAGUCUAUGUAGAAGGCAAUGGCUAUAGAGGAGAUGAAGAGGUCUGUCUUCCAACUUCUGGUCAAACAGCUGCUUAACUGCUAACUUCAAGGUGGAUAAAAUAGGAGAUUCUUCACACCUGGCCUCUUAAAAGGAAUUCCCUCAAUAGUCAGUCAAGAAAUGGGCUUGAUUAUCACCUUCCCUGUCCCCAAAUGCCUUAUGAUCAUCCUGAUUCAGGUUCUUGUGGUCAUUGUGACUGUUUUGAAUGAAGAUUAACUAGUCAACCCAACACAGAAGAAUCCCCACUGGCAAAAUAGGAGCACCCUAAUUUCUGCUGGGAGUUUUUAAAGAAGUAAUGCCUUUGUUCAAGUAGAGGUGGAUAAAAUAGUGUCUGUUUGGGUCUCAGUUGUGGUGACUGAUUAAGCAACUGAACUGUGAAUAUGGACAUCAUGAGUUCUUAGGAAUUACAUAUGGUAGACUCUAUGAAAGUUAUUAUGGGUAAAACAAAAUGGAAGCCCUCAAAGUUGUCUAAACUAUCU